rnacentral:rRNA from 1 species
AUUGAACGCUGGCGGCAGGCCUUACACAUGCAAGUCGAGCGACCGGCGGAUGGGUGAGUAAUGUAUGCGUACUGCUCGAUAGAGGUGGAUAACUACAGGAAUAGGUAGCUAAUACCGCAUCUUAUCGGAUAACCCAUAUGUGAUUAGCUAGUAGGUGAGGUAAAGGCUCACCUAGGCGACGAUCCCUAGCUGGUCUGAGAGGAUGACCAGCCACACUGGGACUGAGACACGGCCCAGACUCCUACGGAGGCAGCAGUGGGGAAUAUUGCACAAUGGGCGAAAGCCUGAUGCAGUCAUGCCGCGUGUAUGAAGAAGGCCCUAGGAUUGUAAAGUACUUUCGGUCGGGAGGCGUUACCGACACAGGAAGCACCGGCUAACUCCGUGCCAGCCGCCGCGGUAAUUC